CUAUCUUAUUUACUUGCAACACACUGUUUCACUAUUCACAUCACAACAGAGAAUCCUUGCCUUGUUAUUUUAUGCCAAAUAAAUAUCUUCAGGCUUUUCAAGGCACUAAUUCCUGCCUUGGUUUUUCUCUUGUUUUGUGGGCUCAGCCUAUAAUGUUUGUAAUGUCUAUGGUGAUGAAGACGGGAAAAAAAUUGUUCGUAAUUUAUGUACAUAGCUUUUGUUGAGUGGUGAAGUAUGAGCAGCGAAGUGGAUACUGAAAUUGAAUCAGAAGUGGAAAAGGGUUCCUAUCAUUGAAACGAAGGACCUCUCUUUGUUUGAUAAUGAGUUACAAUGUUUGGGUAUAUGUAAAAGUAGAGAAAAAAAAAAAUUACUAUCAGAAUCUCAUUUCUAAUGGCUGAAAAUUAUCUCAGCAGUCUAAAAAAAAUAGAAAUAUAAUAAAACUCAUAAACUUAUUCUCUGUAUGAUGUGAAACUCACCAUGUAUUUGUUAUUCAACCUCUCUUUCCUUUUCCGACUAAGAACUUUUUAUUAAAAUUUUAAAUAUCAUGCAGCUAUUUAUACCCUAGGGAGACUGGGAGAGAGUUCUGAAUCAAUUACCUGUCUCAGCUAACCUCUCGCUUCAGUAGAGACAGUAGCUGGAUCCAGAAUACCCAGCUACUUUACUGUGUUGUUCACCUGUUCCAGUAAUCAGUAGCAUUACCUUGCAACACCUGGGCAACUCCUUCACAAACAACUAGCUUCUCCUUUCUUUUGUAUUUUACUGGUCUUCUCAAAUUGACCUUCUAACACCUCCAUUUUAGCAGAUGGAGACAUAAUAGAAAAGCAGGCUAAUGCAGGGAAUUUCAGCUAUUGAACUUCACCUGCUAUACGUUCAUAAGGGAGCCGUCAACCAACUUUCAGCUUUGAAAUUUGCAUAGUUGUGGCAUUUGACUGCCUGCCAAAAUUCAAUUGAUUUCUGUGAUAGAUAAGUAAGGGGAAAUAAGUACACUUAGAAGAUGAACACCUCAUCUGCAGGAACCUCGUUGAAAUCUAAAGUUGGAUCCUCACAACUUUCUGAAACUUCAUUUAUGUGAAAGCGAGGAGUCUUUCAGAAGGACUGUAAGUGACUGAUAACUUUGCUUUGCUGCUUUUCUCAUGGAUUUUAUAUUAAUUUUGUGUUGUUUUUAAUGCUACAGUGCAGCACAUGAUGUAUGGUUUUGGAGAUGAUCCUAAUGUAAGUGGCACCAUGUAUCAUAACUUGAAAUAUUUUAUUAUAACAGGAUAAACUUUUUCCAUUGCAAUUUAGAGUUUGUUUAGCAUUAUUAUUGGAGCUAUUAUUGAGAAAAACAUUAUUUUCAAAUCUCAAUAUGUUGAACAAAGACCUAUAAAAAUUGUUUUUAAGGUCAUAUUUUUUCAUAAAAACUCUAAAACAGCUAACACUUCGAAAAUGAUUCUGGUAACAUCUAAAAGGGUGUUUUUUGAAAAAGUGGGUUCUGAACUCAAUGCCAAAUGAACUCUUGUGCUACAUGUCCUGUUAGAAGCAUGGACCUGGUAGUUUUUAACGCAUUAUAUCUGAGGUUUUUAAUUGCAGUACAGGUGAAAACCAGAAGAAAGGAAAGGAAAAAGAAAAUCAAUGCUAUUAAUUGUCUAUAAUGUUCUAACUGAUCAACUAGAUACACACAGUGUUACAUGCACAUAUUUAUGCAUGAAAUAGAAUUGUCAACCUUGUGCUGUCAUUAUUAUGUUCAAACCUUUUUCUUUCUUACCUGCUGCAAGUAUGGGAAAGUUUUUAAUUAUUAUAUUCCCAUAAUCAAAAAGCUUCUCUCUUAAUGUCUAUAUUAAAUUCAGUAUGUUGCCUAGUUUCUACAUGUUCAAUUGUUUGGUUUACUUUCAAUACAAUUAUGAAUUUAUUGUGCUGCAUGAUCAGCCUCUUCCUGAAACUGUGGCACUUGUGGAGGAUAUUGUCGUGGAGUACGUAACAGAUUUGGUAAGCAUUCUUUUAUGUUGGCAUGACAGCCUUAGCAAGAGGAUAGGGUGGGCAUUAUGACUGUUUGCUGACUUUUUGCAGGCACAUAAUGCCCAAGAUAUAGGAUCAAAGAGGGGAAAGCUAGUAGUUGAUGAUUUUCUGUACUUAAUUCACAAGGUGUUAUGACCACUGAAUUUCCAUUGUUCAUAUUAUGGGCAAUUUUGCUCUACAUUUUCGUAUAUUCUCUCUUAUUUUACCCUUAAAUUCCUUAUCACCUCAUGCUAGUCCUUGAUUGUACGUUCUAACUGAUUGCCUAUAAGUUGGCAUUGCCUCUUUUAUUCAUGGAAAAGGGAGAUGAAGAGGGGGAGGGGGAUGGGGUGUUGGGAAAUAUAAUUUACUGAUGCUUGUAUUAUCUGUGAAUGCUAGCUAAAUCAUGUACACUUUCAUACAUCAUAGCACUAGCUACUGUUACAUAUUUGAUAAAGCAGAUUCAAUCCAAUUUGUUCUUAUCAAAUGAUAGUGCAAGAUAUUGCCGAUGACUUUGUAUGGAGAUAGAAUUGAGACUGGUAUGCCAAUCAGUGCAUUGACAUUUAUCACCUUUUGCCUCCCCAUCUAUCAUGCCCAGCUCAUGCUUUUGUUACUUGAGAGAUGUAUAUGGGCAAUUGUAGUUUAUGCCCUGAUUCCGUUGUACUUAUGGUUGGUAUGUUCAACAUUGCAGGACCUACCAAAACUUAACCGCUGUAUGGAACUUCUGUCUAUGCAAGAGGAACUGAAACAAGCAAGGAAAGCUUUUGAAGUGGAUGAGGAAAAGCUAGCAUUGAUCGAGUGAGACAUGGUAGAGCAUAAAUUAUCCUGCGUUUUUGCUUAUAUUUGAUCUUCGACUGUUUGUCUGGGUGUUGGGUAAAUGGGCUGUAUAAUUCAUGAACAUUUUAGACCUAAACAUUGUGGAGCAAAUUAGACCAAAACUAUGUUUGGGAAGGUCUAUAUUUUAUUUGUAGAGCAAAUUACAAGUAUCGUUGUUGUUCCAUGCUCUACUCUUU
rnacentral:misc_RNA from 1 species